CUCCCUCUCCUCAAAAAGGGGGGUGGGGGGCGUGAAAAGACAAUCAAAGUCCUGUUCACACACGAUACUCUUAAAUUCCUCUUCACACAGAGGAGAAAUUGAACAUAAAACAUAGGAAUAGUAAGAUGAUCAUGAUGGUCUACCAUAGUUAGUCCCUCUGUUACUUAUUGCUUAUUAAUUAUCACUUUUUGUGAUGGUUUUCUAAUUCAUCCUUCUAAAUCAGGAUAAGAUUAACAUGCAUUAAUCCCUCUAUCAAUAUGCAGCAAGAGUGGUCUUCUACCGUACAUCUAUGGCACUGUCACUAACAGCUUAAUGUUUACAUUAUAUAUAUUUGUUAUAUGAGGCAAAUCUUGAUCUAUCCUUGUGCAAAUUUUCAGACCUAUUUCCCGGCAGGCAGACAAAGUCAA
rnacentral:lncRNA from 1 species